rnacentral:rRNA from 1 species
GACGAACGCUGGCGGCGUGCUUAACACAUGCAAGUCGAACGGAAAGGCCCUGCUUUUGUGGGGUGCUCGAGUGGCGAACGGGUGAGUAACACGUGAGUAACCUGCCCUUGACUUUGGGAUAACUUCAGGAAACUGGGGCUAAUACCGGAUAGGAGCUCCUGCUGCAUGGUGGGGGUUGGAAAGUUUCGGCGGUUGGGGAUGGACUCGCGGCUUAUCAGCUUGUUGGUGGGGUAGUGGCUUACCAAGGCUUUGACGGGUAGCCGGCCUGAGAGGGUGACCGGCCACAUUGGGACUGAGAUACGGCCCAGACGCCUACGUUGGGCAGCAGUGGGAAAUAUUGCACAAUGGUCGGGAGUCUGAUGCAGCAACCCCGCGUUCGUGAUGACGGCCUUCUGGUUGUGAACCGCUUUCGCCUAUGACGAAGCUUGAGUGACGGUAAUGGGUGAAGAAGCACCGGCUAACUACGUG